UGUCCAGACUCCUACGGGAGGCAGCAGUGGGGAAUAUUGGGCAAUGGGCGCAAGCCUGACCCAGCAACGCCGCGUGAAGGAAGAAGGCUUUCGGGUUGCAAACUUCUUUUAAGAGGGAAGAGUAGAAGACGGUACCUCUUGAAUAAGCCACGGCUAACUACGUGCCAGCAGCCGCGGUAAUACGUAGGUGGCAAGCGUUGUCCGGAUUUACUGGGUGUAAAGGGCGUGUAGCCGGGCCGGCAAGUCAGAUGUGAAAGCCCGGGGCUCAACCCCGGGACUGCAUUUGGAACUGUAAGGCUAGAGUGUCGGAGAGGCAGGCGGAAUUCCUAGUGUAGCGGUGAAAUGCGUAGAUAUUAGGAGGAACACCAGUGGCGAAGGCGGCCUGCUGGACGAUGACUGACGUUGAGGCUCGAAAGCGUGGGGAGCAAACAGGAUUAGAUACCCCUGUA
rnacentral:rRNA from 1 species